rnacentral:tRNA from 1 species
GGGAUUGUGGCACCAUGGUAGAGCGCUCGCCUGGCAUGCGUGAGGCUCUGGGUUCAAUCCUCAGCACCA